AAGUUAUAUUGGAUGAUUAAAUGGUUUUGAAAACCAUUGAAAAGUGUUCGAUUCACUUGUAACUUU
rnacentral:tRNA from 1 species